rnacentral:rRNA from 1 species
GGAGUUUGGACCGUGUCUCAGUUCCAAUGUGGCCGUUCACCCUCUCAGGCCGGCUAUUGAUCGUUGCUUUGGUAGGCCGUUACCCUGCCAACUGGCUAAUCAAACGCGGGUCCAUCCUUAAGCGAAUUUCUUUCCUCACUAUAUCAUGCGAUACUUGUAAGCAUAUGGUGUAUUAGCACUGAUUUCUCAUUGUUAUUCACCUCUUAAGGGCAGGUUACCCACGCGUUACUCACCCGUCCGCCACUAGAAUUUCCAAGAAUCCAUCGAAACUUCAUCUCGGAGUUCCCGUUCGACUUGCAUGUGUUAAGCCUGUAGCUAGCGUUCAUC